rnacentral:rRNA from 1 species
GGUGGCGAAGGCCGCGUAGGGUUCAGCGGCAGGAGGGCUAGGGGGGAGGGGAGGGGAAGGAGACGAGGCCUGUGGGGUAGAGGCAGCUCGGCCUGCGGGGUAGGUGGAGAUGCCCGCCGCCGCCGCAUCGUUUCAGUCACUCUUUACCGCGGCGGGCCCAGCGCCGCCACCCGCAUGCACGCCUAGUACCGGCCGUGGUAGGAGCCGCCGCCGGAGCCGAAGAUGCAGUACGUGGCGUAGCUCUGGAGGAUGUUCCACUCCUACCUCCUCUCCGACGCCUCCAUGCUUCGCGUGUACGAGCGGUUCCUCUUCCUCCGCGUCGUCGACGUCCUGCUCCCUGCGGCGCUCCUGGUCCGCGUCCAGAACGGCCUGAGCACUAAAAGAGAGCAGGGGAACGAGGCCGAGCGGAAGGGCUCGACAAUCUUGUAUUAGAUCGCCGAGUUUCGAAGGCCUCUUCACGCGGAGACCGCAGAUGCCAGCAAAACACUUGUACUUCUCAAUAAAAAGAAGGGGAGGAAAAACAACUGUUACUCACACGUGGUCAACCUCCGACUCGGAUUGACGUUGAGACGUUCAUGACAUUCUAAGCCUGGGACGACACACUUUUAACUAACAUGGACAUACUCAUACCUAUCAAU